UCUGGCCAGCCACCUAUAAAAGGGCCAAGGGUCGGUGGAAGGAGGUUAUUUCUCCUCCACUUGCAGCCAGAGGUGAGUUUCAGCCUCUCCUACGUUGACUUUCAUGUUUUCCAUGAUUUUCAUCAAAUCUUUCAAGAGUUUUAAGAGUUUUGGUGACUUAUGAAGGUUUUGAGCAAAAGAACCAAGUUUUGAAGCUUGGAGCUUUGGAAGAGCUUUUCUUCAUAUCUCCACGUUAGGAUUCUUCAUCCUCAAGUUCUUUAAGAGGUAAGUGAAGAUCCUGAGCUUCUUUGAUGAUUUUGAAGGUUUUAUGAAGUUUGUAUGGGUAGUAUGCAUGUUUAGGUUUAGGUGAGGUUUUUGGUGAUUUGUGGUGUUCCAGCAUGUUUAAGUGUUAUGUGCUAUGUUUGUUUGGGGUUUUAGGGUAGGUUUAGACCCCUUUGUGCAUAUAUAUGUGUAUAUGCUAGUUGGGAGU
rnacentral:lncRNA from 1 species